UACGUAGGGCGCAAGCGUUGUCCGGAAUUAUUGGGCGUAAAGAGCUCGUAGGCGGCUUGUCACGUCGAUUGUGAAAGCCCGAGGCUUAACCUCGGGUCUGCAGUCGAUACGGGCUAGCUAGAGUGUGGUAGGGGAGAUCGGAAUUCCUGGUGUAGCGGUGAAAUGCGCAGAUAUCAGGAGGAACACCGGUGGCGAAGGCGCUCUGCUAGGCCGUAACUGACACUGAGGAGCGAAAGCGUGGGGAGCGAACAGG
rnacentral:rRNA from 1 species